rnacentral:tRNA from 1 species
GGGGUCGUAACUCAGAUGGUACAGCGCUCGCUUAGCAUGCGAGAGGUACCGGGAUCGAUACCCCGGCGCCUCCA